GGCUGUAUCGCUUGUAUAUGGGUUAAAAAUAAAAGCAGGGGACUCAUAAUCCCUUGGCCGAGAGUUCGAUUCUCUCCACCCCUACCA
rnacentral:tRNA from 1 species